GAUGAACGCUGGCUACAGGCUUAACACAUGCAAGUCGAGGGGAAACGACGGGGAAGCUUGCUUCCCCGGGCGUCGACCGGCGCACGGGUGAGUAACGCGUAUCCAACCUGCCUCUGACUGAGGGAUAACCCGUCGAAAGUCGGCCUAAUACCUCAUGGUAUCGUCUGCGGGCAUCCAACGACGAUUAAAGAUUUCAUCGGUCAGGGAUGGGGAUGCGUCUGAUUAGCUUGUUGGCGGGGUAACGGCCCACCAAGGCUACGAUCAGUAGGGGUUCUGAGAGGAAGGUCCCCCACAUUGGAACUGAGACACGGUCCAAACUCCUACGGGAGGCAGCAGUGAGGAAUAUUGGUCAAUGGGCGAGAGCCUGAACCAGCCAAGUAGCGUGCAGGAAGACGGCCCUAUGGGUAGUAAACUGCUUUUAGGCGGGGAUAAAGUGAGGGACGUGUCCCUCAUUGCAGGUACCGCAUGAAUAAGGACCGGCUAAUUCCGUG
rnacentral:rRNA from 1 species